GGAGAACUUGCAUCGACUCAUUGUUUCUUCCCGUUUCUAUCGGACGAUCUAAGGCAGCUUGAAUAAUUUGCCGCAGCCUCUGCGCAGCAGUAUUCGACUUAUCCAGUGGGAUAUGUGGAUGUAAAAGAAGUCCAGCUUCGAGAACUUUUAGAUUUCUUUUCUGCCAGGCAUCAUAUUCUCUCUGAUCAGUAAAAUCUGCAGCUUUGAACUGUUGUAAGAGCUCCAAGGGGAGAACAGUUGACUCGAUUCUUCUCCCAACCUGGCCAGCAGUAAUUCUCAAAAGAGCUCUACGAAUUCUCGAAUCAAAAUUCUCAGAAACCUUCAUUUGGAUCCUCAUUAGCUCCCCUAUGGUUACAGGCUUCUUGGGCUUUCCACCAGAGCCCGGGCUACCCUCAGUCCGCUUAAUUCCCGAACUGGAGCUAGAUCGAAG
rnacentral:misc_RNA from 1 species